rnacentral:rRNA from 1 species
CCCAGACUCCUACGGGAGGCAGCAGUGAGGAAUAUUGGUCAAUGGGCUUACGCCUGAACCAGCCAAGUCGCGUGAGGGAAGACUGCCCUAUGGGUUGUAAACCUCUUUUGUCAGGGAGCAAGGUCGUCCACGUGUGGGCGUAUGGAGAGUACCUGAAGAAAAAGCAUCGGCUAACUCCGUGCCAGCAGCCGCGGUAAUACGGAGGAUGCGAGCGUUAUCCGGAUUUAUUGGGUUUAAAGGGUGCGUAGGCGGGACCUUAAGUCAGCGGUAAAAUUGCGGUGCUCAACGCCGUAGAGCCGUUGAAACUGGGGCUCUUGAGUGAGCGAGAAGUAUGCGGAAUGCGUGGUGUAGCGGUGAAAUGCAUAGAGAUCACGCAGAACCCCGAUUGCGAAGGCAGCAUACCGGCGCUCAACUGACGCUGAGGCACGAAAGUGCGGGUAUCGAACAGGAUUAGAUACCCCCGUACCC